rnacentral:lncRNA from 1 species
AUGCCUUUCUGUUAAACCAUUUGUCGGCUGGUGAAUGCACUGGACCCUGGUACUGCCAAGAGUCCCCAGAACUGAAUAUGCACCAAAUUCUGCCGUGUAGUAAAUCCUUCUUAACUGACUUUCCCUUCUGGCCUUCAAAACGCACCUCCCAAGCCCAGAAUUCUAUCAACAUUGACCGAUUGUGGUUUCUGCUUGUAGCUAUUGUGCUUCUCCAUGCCUUUAGAUAGCUCUGUGCAAACAGCCUUUAUUAGCUUUGCCACAGAGUAUCUUUUGUGGGCUGCCCCAUACAUUUCUCCAGAUAAACAUGUGGGCUCAUACAAAACAAUUUAAUACAUUAACUGGCACCACCCAAAUAAAGACACUGCCACAAGCACGUACAAUCUAAAGUGACACACUUAAAUCAUCCUUAUAGGCAGAAAUGCGGCACCGUGGGUCCGAGGAGGCAGCCACAUUGGGACAAACAAGAAGUGUUUAAUGAUCUUAAGCCAAGGCCCGUAUGAUAUACAAUUAUAGAAGUUUUCAAUGUAUUCCAUCCCUUAACCCCAAUACUCCUGAGUCUUAAAGGAUGCAUAACUGUGAGGUAAGGGGGAGAGAUGGUGUCUUCUACAGAUCCGGUUGGUGGCAAAACGCUCCUCUGGCUGCCCUCUGGAGAGCCUUCUCUCCUGUUUCUGUCGACAAAUCACAAUACCAGUUCCUCUUUCCCUGGCAGGCCCACACCUGGAUGGAUUUGGACUGGCCAUUGUGCUUCUUGGAUUGACAAAAGCUACAAGGAAGAAACUCUAGAGAAAUCUGAGGGAGAGAAGUAAUCCCAGAAACAUCUGAGAUGCAAGAGGAGUGGUGAGCAGAGAAAAAAAGUGUUCCAGUGACCACCUAAUUCAGAUGAAAACUUCAUGAAGCUGAGGCAAAAUCGCUCUUACUUUGAAGCACUUUGUUCAAUGACAUGUCCUUGAUUUAUCAUUAAGUGCUAGCUCUGUAAACGCAUAUGAUGAGUGCAUCUCAAAUGCAAUUCCAAUAUCCAAUUCCAGGUUCUCAGUGUCUAGGACACCCAACAGACCCCACAAGAUAUUACCUAGCUCUGGCUUGUGCUCUGGGAACAUGCUACUUCAAAAUGUUGCAUGCUCAUCUCUCAAACUGUGAGAUCCUUAAGAGCAAUGACUAUGAAGUAUCUAACAGUGACUAAUAGCCUAAUGUUUGAUGGGCAUUUAUUAACAUUGAAUCAAUUAAUUAAAGAGUAAAUAAGAAAUGAAAUAAUAUACUUCAAAUCCCUCCUGUAUGAUGAUGCUAUUGCUACCAUACCAAUAAGGCCAAUUUUCUCCUUUGUAAUAAUUAUUUCUUUGCCCUUUCCCUAACUGCAGGUCCCUUUCUUCAUUUCCUUCUCAAAAGGAACUUUCCGUUUUCUGCUAUGAGCCAACAUAAUAGGGAAUUGCAAGGCUUGUAGAUGUUGCUGGUUUCAUAUAUCAAAGUCAUAAGCUACUAAUUGGCAUGGUCCAAUAGAUUAUUGGAUAUUUAUUGGGGACAAAGAGAUGAAUCCCAAUCUGUAAGCAAAACUAUUAUUGUUCUUGACAGAUUAUCUGGGAUCUGAACAUUUAAAAGUUGAAUACCAUUUCAAAGUUGAGGAGGCUAGCCCAGAACUCAGGAAAAGAAUUAGAAGAGUAGGAAGGAAGUAUGAUACCAACUAGUGCUAAAAUAGACAGGUGCUUCUGAAUGUAUCUAUAGAGGCAGUUUGUACCUCCUCAUCCUAAAGCACUUAAAGGAGCUCUGGAUUAUUGAUGUUUACUUAGCAACGAUACUCCUUUGCAUGCACCCAUCUCAGUGACUUCUCACUUUCCCCCCUUUUCCCUUUUAGAACUGCCUUUCAUAUUCAGUUAUUAAUCACAUUUCAAAUAUCAGCAAAUGUACUGUUUGUUCUGAAAUCUGAGUCCUACUCUAGAUGGUCCAUUUGCUGCAGAGAGUUAGGUGUCACUGACCACAGACUAAGGAGAAUAGCUAAGGCAGAGUAUUUUAAAUGCACAAAUCCUUCAUUGUUGAGUCCCACUGCUAGGAAUUUAACCUAAGGAAGUACUCAGGAAUGUGCUCAUACUGAUCCUUCAUUAUUUAUAAUGUCAAAAAACUGGAAAUAAUCUUAAAGUUAUACAUUAGAGAUUGGUUAAGUGAAUAAUGAUAUAUAAUCCAUACAAUCGACUACCUUCAACUAAAAAUCAAGUUGUAAUGGAAUAUUAGUAUUAUUAUUACUACCAUGAAAAUCUGAUUAUCAUAUGGUCUUUUAAAUAUGCAAAUAAAAAUACCCAGAAGGAUAAAAGUAAAAUGUUAACAGUGGUCAUCUUUGGGAGGUAAGGUUAGAGUCAACUUUAUAACUUUGUAAUUUUUCACCAUUUUCCUAGGUUUAUGAUUUGAAAACAUAUUAUUUUUGUGACUAAAAUAUUAAUAAAAAACAGAACAGGCAAAAGAGGAGAUAAAAUUUAUUGGGAACUCGAGAGCAGUGAAAUUUUUUCCUUGCCCUCAAAAAUAGUCUUUGCAAUAGGUUUAUUUAUUUUACGUUUAGUGACUCAUUUCUUUGUCCUUAUUAUCUUGGAUAUCUUUCAAUAUGUAUAUUGAAAACAUACCUAAAAGACAAAACAUUCAUUUCACUAAGAAUUUAUACACAUAAGAAGCCAAUGCUUUUUCAUAUCAUGUUUUCCUUUUUAAUUAAUCAAUUCGUGAAUUAUAGUCUCUUCCGCUUAUCUUACAAGACAUGUAUAUUAAGAGAGAACAUUUCUACAGGGAACAUGAAAGCAAAGUAGAGAUUGGGUGGACAGGAGCAAUAGAAUCAUACAUGUCAAAGUUUUUGUCCUAUUUCCUUUUUUUUCAUUUUUUAAAGUUUUAUUGAGGUAUAGUUGGUUUGCAACGUUGUAAUAAUUUCUGCUAUACAACGAAGUGAUUCAGUUGUACAUAUACACAUAUUCAUUAUUUUUCAGGUUCUUUUCCAGUAUAGGUUGUCAUAGAGUAUUGGGUAGAGCUCCCUGUGUUAUACAGCAGAUCCCUGUUGACCAUCCAUUCUGUAUACAAUAGGAGGCUUUUUUUUUUUUUAGGGCCACACCUCCAGCACAUGGAGGUUCCCAGGCUAGGGGUCAAAUCAGAGCUACAGCCACCAGCCUACACCACAGCCACAGCAAUGCAGGAUCCAAGUUGCAUUUGCAACCUACACCACAGCCCAUGGCAAGCCAGAUCCCUAACCUACUGAGUGAGGCCAGGGAUUGAACCUGCAACCUCAUGGUCAUUCAUUUCUGCUGUACCAAAAUGGGAACUCUAGCAGCCCAAUGUUUUUUAAACUAUGUCUUUUGAAAUAAAUUUAUUGGCUCUGAGCUUGAAUACAAAAUAAAGUAGGAGUUCCCGUCAUGGCUCAGUGGUUAACGAAUCUGACUAGGAACCAUGAGGUUGCAGGUUCGAUCCCUGGCCUUGCUCAGUGGGUAACGAUCCGGUGUUGCUGUGAGCUGUGGUGUAGGUUGCAG